GGCACGGGUGAGUAACACGUAUCCAACCUGCCGUCUACUCUUGGACAGCCUUCUGAAAGGAAGAUUAAUACAAGAUGGCAUCAUGAGUCCGCAUGUUCACAUGAUUAAAGGUAUUCCGGUAGACGAUGGGGAUGCGUUCCAUUAGAUAGUAGGCGGGGUAACGGCCCACCUAGUCUUCGAUGGAUAGAGGUUCUGAGAGGAAGGUCCCCCACAUUGGAACUGAGACACGGUCCAAACUCCUACGGGAGGCAGCAUG
rnacentral:rRNA from 1 species